CUCGCUCGGCCGAAGGUUCGAGGUUUGCCCCGAAGAGGUGUACGAGUGCAGAUCGGCAAGGAUGGCUGGAGCGACGCCAGUGAAGGUCGUUGUUGAGUACUGUAGUGGAUGAGGGUACAAGAACCGCUUUGACGAUCUGAAGAAGCAGAUCCUUGCAAAGAUACCAAAUGCCAAUGUGGUUGGCAAUGUAGGACGCAAAUCGUCCUUUGAAGUUGAAAUCAAUGGCGUCCAGGUAUUCUCUAAGCUGGCAAAGAAUGCCUUCCCAGACUUCGCGGAGGUUGUCGCUCGAGCUUUGGAUGCCAGCCAAGGGAAAGCGGUGCAGGUUGUAAAAGGUGUCCAGAAGUAGCCUGGAGGCCUGCGCACCUGUGCAUGUGACCCAUUGUACAACUUCCCUACACGCAUCUUCUCUGCUGGUCUACCAUGCAGUUGGCGUUCCUGAACAGUAGCUGAAGGUCUUGGAAAGUGCACAGAUGAUGGCGUGAUCACAAAUCUCGGAAAGGGUCUUGCCUGAAGAACCAGCACGUUCCGGCCCACCACUAUUUGUUCUGUUGAAAGCUAUUCGUGUAUGGAGCUUGCAGAAGAAAAUGCAUUUGUUUGUUUU